rnacentral:tRNA from 1 species
AGAGCAGAGACAUAGUGGAUAGGGGCCUGGGCUCAUAACCGAAAGGUUGUGGGUUCGAUUCCCACCUGGGCUG